ACCAAACACUACACUACUACUCCACCCCACGCCCAUCUCCCUCCUUAUUUUCAGUGCCCAAACACACACAACACAUACUGAGGUAAGAAUAAGACAAGACGAUGAGUCCAAAAACCAGGCAGUGGAAGCAGCAGCAGCUUUUCAUUAAUUUAGGGGUAAAAUGAGCUGUCUAUCAUGUGCUUCAACAUGGCCCCUUUACCCACACCCAUCACUUUAUGUCUUUCUUCACCUUCACUCAUUACUUAUAUAUAUAUACAUAGAUUUCAUCAUUACUCAAUCACCAUCCAGAGAUGUAGCUAUAGCUGUGGUGAUGAUGAUAGUGAUGAUGAUGAUGAAGGGAAUUAGGGGGCGUUUGGAAUGGAGGCUGAUCCAAGAUCCCUUCCUCCCGCACCACUUUCUUGCUGGACUAAUAAUGAUCUCGGACCAGGCUUCAUUCCUCACGCCCCAAUUUCCAACACCCAAACACCCCUCAGAUCUUCAUUUCAUUCCCAUGGUAAAAAGUGUGUAUACGCUACAUGGUCCAAGUUAGGAACUUUGGGGAGCGAAAUGGUUGUACUUCGGGCCUAUUGGAAUUUUUGCUUUUUCAAGACAAUGGUUCUGCCCACGACACAACUUUACAGAUUUAUUCCUCUUACAACAAUUUGACACACCAUUUAUGUGGUUUGGAGAAUUCUCCUACAUUCACGAUUUGCUCAAUAUCAAUUUUUAUUGAAAUUAUAGUAAUAAUUAUUACAUCAACUAUUUAUAUCAUAGCAGCUAUCUGCCGUCAUUGGAUGUGGAUGUAGCGCAGUACAAAAGAAAAAAAUAAAUGAAAGUAAUAUAUUGAAAUUUAAACAAAACCUAUAACAGAAGAUUUCAUA